rnacentral:rRNA from 1 species
UCUGGGGGAUAGCCCGCCGAAAGGCGGAUUAAUACCGCAUAAAACAACAGCCUGGCAUCAGGCAAUUGUCAAAGAUUUAUUGGAUUCGGAUGGGGUUGCGUGCCAUUAGCUAGUUGGCGGGGUAACGGCCCACCAAGGCGACGAUGGCUAGGGGAGCUGAGAGGCUGGUCCCCCACACGGGCACUGAGAUACGGGCCCGACUCCUACGGGAGGCAGCAGUAGGGAAUAUUGGGCAAUGGGCGAGAGCCUGACCCAGCCAUGCCGCGUGCAGGAUGAAGGCUUUCUGAGUCGUAAACUGCUUUUGCCA